rnacentral:rRNA from 1 species
GGAAUAUUGCACAAUGGGCGCAAGCCUGAUGCAGCGACGCCGCGUGGGUGAAGACGGUUUUCGGACUGUAAAGCCCUUUUCUGUGUGACGAGAGUGGACGGUAGCACAGGAAUAAGUCUCGGCUAACUACGUUCCAGCAGCCGCGGUAAAACGUAGGAGGCAAGCGUUAUCCGGAGUUACUGGGCGUAAAGCGCGUGCAGGUGGUUAAGUAAGUUGGUUAUGAAAGCUCCUGGCUAAACUGGGAGAGGUUGACCAAAACUGCUAAACUAGAGUGGAGAAGAGGUAAACGGAAUUCCGCGUGUAGUGGUGAAAUGCGUAGAGAUGCGGAAGAACACCAGUGGCGAAGGCGGUUUACUGGUCUCCAACUGACACUCAGACGCGAAAGCAUGGGUAGCG